rnacentral:rRNA from 1 species
UACGAAGGGGGCUAGCGUUGUUCGGAAUCACUGGGCGUAAAGGGCGCGUAGGCGGCUUUAUAAGUCGGGGGUGAAAGCCUGUGGCUCAACCACAGAAUUGCCUUCGAUACUGUAGAGCUUGAGACCGGAAGAGGUAAGUGGAACUGCGAGUGUAGAGGUGAAAUUCGUAGAUAUUCGCAAGAACACCAGUGGCGAAGGCGACUUUCUGGACGGUUCCUGACGCUGAGGCGCGAAAGCUAGGGGAGCAAACAGG